rnacentral:sRNA from 1 species
CCCUAGCCCAGAUAGCAGUGUAAAGCCCACAGUCGCGCCUUUUUUUGGCGAGACGAGGACUUGAAAUGGAUAGCUGGAACUAGC